ensembl:miRNA MIR6781 microRNA 6781
AACCCCGGGCCGGAGGUCAAGGGCGUCGCUUCUCCCUAAUGUUGCCUCUUUUCCACGGCCUCAG